GCCUUGUGGCUUGAGUAGAAAAGAAUAUAACCAGUUGCUUAUAAUAUGUAUAACAUAACGAUUUCAAAAUUUUGCCACAAGGGCAGCUUGAGGAAGGGGAUUAAGUCAAUCCCAGUGUUUCAUUGGUAAUUAAUUUAUGGACCCCGAAAGGCAAAGUCGACCUGGGCUGAAGUUGAACUGAGAACAAGGCAUUGGGCGAAAUACAACUAAGCAUUUUGCCCAGUUGCCCAAUUCGUCGCCUCGUAUACGAUAACAAGAUAUUUAUGCCGCUACUUUGCUCAUGGAUGCUGCGUAAAGAAUCAAUGUUUGUGGAUCUUUCGCAAAUUUAUUUCCAAGAUAAACCAUAUUUGUUAUUUACUUCUUCCAGCUAAAUACAUUUAUGACUUUCCGUUUCAAUAAUGGACUCUCCCAGUGUUUACUGCCAUGUUGCAAUCCAUUUUUUCUUAUCUUCUAAAAUAUUCUCUUUUUUUAUAAGUUUUACACGUGUUUUUCAUCCCAGCAGCUACUCGUUGUGAAUGUUUUAUACAAAGCUGAUAACCCUGGUCGGAUUCCACUCUUGCAUUUUUUUCACAGAUUACCAGUUUUAGAUAUUACCGCCAUUAUUCUUCUCUUACUGAAGCGUUCAUCUAUUGACUCUGUUUCGACACUGAAACUGGGAAUGGUUUUAUUCUUUAAGCCAUUAUGACAACAGCUAAUCAUAACAUAAGUUUUCCAGAUAUCGGUAGGUUAAAAAAUGUCGUUCUACACAACUAUAUUGCUAUGUUCGUUCUACAGAACUAUAUUGCUAUGUUCGUUCUACAGAACUACAUUGCUAUGUUCGUUCUACAGAACUACAUUGCUAUGUUCGUUCUACAGAACUACAUUGCUAUGUUCGUUCUAAAUGUUUAAACAAGAUAUCUUCUCGUUCAUCAGCACAUAUUUUGACUCGAGUCCUUCCAAAGGUUUUUAGAAAUCAUAUGACUUGCUUGCAUUAUAUUCUCAUGAAUACAAGGAACAGAUUCCAUUUAUUUAGAUGCCAUUCUGAGAAUCCCUCUACCGUUUACGUAAUAUAUUUCGGUGUAGUUCAGUAUUCUAUUUCGUUUUCUUAACGUUUCUCUUAAUAUAAAAUUAUUGAAAUAUAUAAUUUCGCUUCUCUUUUAGCACUGAUUUAAUUCUUGCAUCUUCAAUAUUUAUCCCUUUAUUCAGAGACCUGUAAAUACGACGGCUGUGGCCUGGGUAAAACGUGAUGCUAAAUGUGCUGUGUAGUAUCCGUUGUUGUUUGUGAUUUGCUGUGGAAAUAUUGGGAUCCCAGUCAGAUGUAAUCCAUUAUGAAUCUACUGUAUUAUCUGUAGACAAUUCUGAUCCUGUCUUUCUAUAAGGAACGAUUAUACAAGAACGGUGGAUUAAAAAUGAACAUGCUGUAUGACGUUUGCUUGAGCGAUGAAAUGAGAAUUUGUUUGAGGCAGUAGAAAUUUGAACAGAAGAAGCACAUCUCCGUUCAAAGGAUUUCACCAAUUUCUCACAUUGUUAUGACGAAAUUUCCACAAAAUCGUAACAUUCGCAAAAUCGUAACAUUCUCCGAUUUCAUCGCCAAGUAUCUUCCAUACAUUUUGAAAGGAAUUAAGGCCACAGCUCUGAGCUGGCCAACACAUCACUAUAAUGUUUUCAGCUCAAACACUUCCUUAACUAUUUUAGCACUUUGACAUGGUGCAUUAUCCUGCAUAUGUUGGGUUGGCAACUAAAUUCCCACCGUCUUUUUUAAAUUUAAAAUAUAUAUUGGGUUGGCAAAUAAGUUCCCACCGUUUUUUAAAUUUAAA